UCUUUCACUGUGGUUUCUGUCAAUGCUGAUGGUUACCCUUACUAUUCUCCUCCUCCUCCUUACGAGUACAAAUCACCACCUCCUCCACCUUAUGAGCACAAGUCUCCUCCUUAUGAGUACAAGUCUCCACCUCCCCCAUCUCCAUCUCCUCCUCCUCCUUACGUCUACAAGUCUCCACCUCCACCACCAUAUGAGCACAAGUCUCCUCCAUAUGUGUACAAAUCACCACCUCCUCCAUCUCCUUCACCACCACCUCCUUACGUCUACAAGUCUCCACCUCCUCCUCCUUAUGUCUACAAGUCUCCACCUCCUCCUCCUUACGUCUACAAGUCUCCACCACCACCUCCUUAUGUCUACAAAUCUCCCCCUCCACCACCAUAUGAGCACAAGGCUCCACCAUAUUAUUACAAGUCACCACCACCUCCUUCCCCAUCUCCUCCACCUCCUUAUUACUAUAAAUCUCCUCCACCACCCUCUCCCUCACCUCCUCCUCCCUACUACUACAAGUCUCCACCACCUCCUUCACCAUCUCCUCCUCCACCCUACUACUACAAGUCCCCACCACCUCCUUCACCAUCUCCUCCUCCACCCUACUACUACAAGUCCCCACCACCACCCUCCCCAACUCCCUACUACUACAAGUCCCCACCACCACCAUCUCCAACUCCCUACUACUACAAGUCUCCACCACCACCAUCUCCAACUCCUUACUAUCCAUCCCCCACUCCUUACUACUACAAGUCUCCACCACCACCAUCCCCAACUCCCUACUACUACAAGUCUCCUCCUCCUCCUUCACCUACUCCUUACUACUACACUUCUCCACCACCACCCAAAUAUCCACCUCCCUACUAUUAUAACUCCCCUC
rnacentral:lncRNA from 1 species